UUUUAUUCCUUCUUUUUUCCUUUUGCUUUUGGUUAUGCCCUCAUGUACGGAGGCACCAUCACCCCUACUAUGCGUGGCGCCCCUGCAACACGCAGGCCGUGGAUUGUCCCUGCGUUACACUGAAUGCUACAAACCGCUUGUCCUUUCCUGUUAACUGUUUUUUUCUAUUCUUCUGCAGUGUUUUUUCGACUUCUGUCUAGAACCCUUUUUUUAAAUGUCUGUAUUCUGAAGUGAGAGCUGAGGGUUGAAGAAAAGAAAAAGAGUGUCCGAUGAAUGGACAGAUGAAGGGGACAGGCAAAGAAUGAGGGGAAAAUGGAGAGCAUGGUCUGCGGGAGAAAGAGAGAAAGACAGAGAAAGAGAGAGAGAGCGAGAGUUCGGAGAAAGAGUACCGGCACAUGCAAGAAAAACAGGAGGGGGAAGAGAGGAAAAGGGGGACCAGUAGGGGAAUGACUUAGGAAGGAGGGACGGCUGGAUAGGAAUUGGCAAAAUUGCGGGAAAAAGGAGAAAAAACAAAACUCCAGCGUGAGAAGAAACUGGACUUCUCGCCAAACUCAGGCUCGCACUCUGUGGUCGCCUUUGAUUUUUGUUUUUGACAUGAUUUUUCAUCACUUCUCCGGUCACGCUCACAUUCAUCUGUUAAACCCUUGAGACAAGCUGAACCUUUUCAAUGAAGACGUGAUUUUUAUCAGGAAUGCCGUGGUCAACCAUAGAAGCUCCCCAGUGAGAAGAGGGCCAUGGGAAAAACAUCAAACUAGAUCCCGGUUGUGAGAUACUUAUCCUGGCCCUGCAGCAAGCUGUCAUCUGACUGAAGAGGUGCAUUAGCAUCGAUGGGGAUCUCAGGUCCGAGUCCUCGCCACACGGGGUCAAAAUCCAGUUUAGAAGAAGACCGGGGAGAAGUAUGUAAUCUUAGUCUUUCUUCCUGGUCUUUAAAUUAUUUCUUUCUUAUUAAUAAUAUUGGGAAAGUAAUGAUCACACUCUGCUUUAGGCUAUAGUUAAAUUUAAUGUGAAUUUAGGUCAUUUAUUAAUUUAUC